rnacentral:rRNA from 1 species
ACGAACGCUGGCGGCGUGCUUAACACAUGCAAGUCGAACGGGCUGCCUGGUUUUCGGAUCGGGUGGUGAGUGGCGAACGGGUGAGUAACACGUGAGUAACCUGCCCCUCUCUUUGGGAUAACGUCGGGAAAUCGGCGCUAAUACCGGGUAUUCUGGCUUCCUCGCAUGGGGUUGUUGGGAAAGGUUUUUUCUGGUGGGGGAUGGGCUCGCGGCCUAUCAGCUUGUUGGUGGGGUGAUGGCCUACCAAGGCGGUGACGGGUAGCCGGCCUGAGAGGGUGUCCGGACACACUGGGACUGAGACACGGCCCAGACUCCUACGGGAGGCAGCAGUGGGGAAUAUUGCACAAUGGGCGGAAGCCUGAUGCAGCGACGCCGCGUGGGGGAUGACGGCCUUCGGGUUGUAAACCUCUUUCAGUGCAGAACAAGGCUCUUUGUGGGUUGAGGGUAUGCGCAGAAGAAGCGCCGGCUAACUACGUG